AAUAUUGCGCAAUGUUGGGAACUCUGACGCAGCGACGCCGCGUGAGCGAUGAAGGCUUUCGGAUCGAAAAGCUCUGUCUUUGGGGAAGAAGUUCUUCGGACUUGACGGUACCCAAUGACGAAGCCCCGGCUAACUACGUGCCCGCAGCCGCGGUAAUACGCAGGGGGCGAGCGUUGUCCGGAAUUACUGGGCUUAAAGGGUACGUAGGCGGCUAUAUAAGUCAUGUGUUAAAUACCAGUGCUUAACACGGGAAUUGCAUUUGAAACUGUGUAGCUUGAGUGCAGGAGAGGAAAGUGGAAUUCCUAGUGUAGCGGUGAAAUGCGUAGAGAUUAGGAGGAACACCAGUGGCGAAGGCGACUUUCUGGACUGUAACUGACGCUGAGGUACGAAAGCGUGGGUAGCGAAC
rnacentral:rRNA from 1 species